GACGAACGCUGGCGGCGUGCUUAACACAUGCGAGUCGAACGGAAAGGCCCUGCGUGUGUGGGGUGCUCGAGUGGCGAACGGGUGAGUAACACGUGAGUAACCUGCCCUUGACUUUGGGAUAACUUCAGGAAACUGGGGUUAAUACCGGAUAGGAGCUCCUGCUGCGGGGUGGGGGUUGGAAAGUUUCGGCGGUUGGGGAUGGACGCGCGGCUUAUCAGCUUGUUGGUGGGGGAGGGGCUUACCAAGGCUUUGACGGGUAGCCGGCCUGAGAGGGGGACCGGCCACCUUGCGCCUGCGAUACGGCCCAGACUCCUACGGGAGGCAGCAGUGGGGAAUCUUGCACAAUGGGCCGAAGCCUGAUGCAGCAACGCCGCGUUCGGAAUGACGUCCUUCGGGUUGUAAACCGCUUUCGCCUGUGACGAAGCGUGAGUGACGGUACUGGGUAAAGAAGCACCGGCUAACUACGUG
rnacentral:rRNA from 1 species